CGCUGGCGGCGUGCCUAAUACAUGCAAGUCGAACGGUCUUUCUAUGGAAGCUUGCUUCCACUGAGAAGAUAGUGGCGAACGGGUGAGUAACACGUGGGUAACCUGCCCAUAAGAGGGGGGAUAACAUCCGGAAACGGGUGCUAAUACCGCAUAGUUUUCUUGAUCGCAUGAUUGAGAAAGGAAAGACGGCCUUUGUGCUGUCGCUUAUGGAUGGACCCGCGGCGUAUUAGUUAGUUGGUGAGGUAACGGCUUACCAAGACGAUGAUACGUAGCCGACCUGAGAGGGUGAUCGGCCACAUUGGGACUGAGACACGGCCCAAACUCCUACGGGAGGCAGCAGUAGGGAAUCUUCCGCAAUGGACGAAAGUCUGACGGAGCAACGCCGCGUGAGUGAAGAAAGGUUUUCGGAUCGUAAAACUCUGUUGUCAGAGAAGAACAAGUUGGAGAGUAACUGCUCCAGCCUUGACGGUAUCUGACCAGAAAGCCACGGCUAACUACGUGCCAGCCGCCGC
rnacentral:rRNA from 1 species